UUUUCGGUAGUUUAAUUAGAAUGUGGCGUUGAAGUUGCUAAGGUGACCGUUAGGUUCUGGAGAU
rnacentral:tRNA from 1 species